rnacentral:rRNA from 1 species
AGUGAACGCUGGCGGUAGGCCUAACACAUGCAAGUCGAACGGCAGCACAGUAAGAGCUUGCUCUUACGGGUGGCGAGUGGCGGACGGGUGAGGAAUACAUCGGAAUCUACUUUUUCGUGGGGGAUAACGUGGGGAAACUUACGCUAAUACCGCAUACGACCUACGGGUGAAAGCAGGGGUUCUUGGAACUUUUGCCAUUUAAUUUGCCGAUGUCGGAUUAGCUAGUUGGCGGGGUAAAGGCCCACCAAGGCGACGAUCCGUAGCUGGUCUGAGAGGAUGAUCAGCCACACUGGAACUGAGACACGGUCCAGACUCCUACGGGAGGCAGCAGUGGGGAAUAUUGGACAAUGGGCGCAAGCCUGAUCCAGCCAUACCGCGUGGGUGAAGAAGGCCUUCGGGUUGUAAAGCCCUUUUGUUGGGAAAGAAAAGCAGCAGGUUAAUACCCCGCUGUUCUGACGGUACCCAAAGAAUAAGCACCGGCUAACUUCGUG